AUCCUAGGAUUACAAAGGAUUUCUUUACCUUUUUUUUCUUAUACUUUCUCUAGUCUUUUGGUUUAGAGAUUUACAUUUGUAUUUCCUGGGAGAAAUUAAACCAUUUUGAAGAGUUUCUCUUUAUCUUUCACAAUGAGUUUGACCUUAAAGCCUAUCUUAUCUGAAAUGACGAAUGCUGUUUUUGUUAUUGUUGUAAGGCUGUACGUGUGCACAGGCAUGUGUGUGCGCGCGCACACACACAUUUGCUCGCGCGCGCGCGCACACACACACACACACACCUCAGUUUUACAACACUCAGAUUCUGAUUUUUUUUUAAAGAUCUCAUUCUUUUAAAAUCUCUUUUGUGGGGGAUGUAAGGAAUCUUGAGUGAAUGUGUCUUACAAUGACACAGCCAUAUCAAGGGCCCCAAUGCCUCAGACCUAUGGAAAUAACAAAGUCUUCCCUGGUAAGAUUCAUAGGGAUGCCAAAGCCCUCCUCUGGUCCAAGUGUGAGUGUCGAUGGUGUGUGCAGAAACUGUCAAGCACAGCUUCCUCUUCAGUGAUGGCUGCAGCCUGAGACUGCUCCCUACAGAGACCUCCUGCCCAGAUUAGCUAUCCCUGCCUCCUUGGUCAGCUGUGGACCAUAAAGCCCCCACUCCCACCUUGUUCAUCUGUAUACAACAAGUAUGCCUUCUUGAUGCAGAUUAUAAAAUAAACACGCUGAGGUUCUGAGCUGCUGCUGCAGUUGGUGCCGCUAUCACAGGGAUCACAGUCCACCCCAUACCAGCUUUUCCGUCUGUCUGUGUGUCCAUCCUCUCUUCAGUCAAGUUUUCAGGACAGCACGCUCUUUGUUUCCAUUCCUGUCACACUUUAUUUCAGAAUCCAUCUGGGAUGAUGUCCCCUGCCCCGACACGAUCUUGGGGGAUUUCCUCAUGUGCGGGCCAGCUGCGGCACUACUUUCCUGUGUCGGCUGCUGGAAACGCUCUUCCGCUUGCUUGCGUUUUACAAGAAGGGUGUCACUGCAUUGGGAACUCUAGACUCUAAGUGCUUUGACUCUCGUCCUUUGACCAAAAACUUGUUUGUCAACAAAACAAUUACUUCUUUGACUUUCAUUUUCUGUUAUUCCGGUCUGGUUUAUCUAGACAUGAGUUAAUAAUUAAUUAUAUCUUCUGUUUGGCCUUCAAGUUCCAUUGCAAGGACGCUUUUCCAGGUUUUGCCUGUACCCCAGGGCCUUCUCCUCUCCUUUCGAGAUUAAUGAAUCAUGCUGGAACUGCUCAAGUAACUUUCCAGUCUCACACCUCUCUUCUAUUCCCCGCCCCCCGCCCUUCAUCUCUCCAGUUGUGUUACAUCUGGUUUCUGCAAACAUAGCCUAAGUUUGCUAACAAUCUCUUCCCCUGUGGAUAAAACCAUAAUGUCUUAAUUUCGACUAUCAUUUUUAGUUCUUUAAUUUUAACAUCUUGCUUUUUCAUUCUGAAGAUUUAUUUUUAUUUAUGUGUAUGAGCGUUUUGUCUAUGUGUUUCUGGGUGUGCACCACAUGUGUUCCUGGCGCCCAAGGAGCCCAAAAGAGAGUGUUAGAUACUUGGAACUGGAGUAACAGACAGUUAGGAGCCACUUUGUGCUUUGUGGGAAGUGAACCUGGGUCCCUCGCGAAAACAGCAAGUACUUUUAGCUGCAGAGGGCCAUCUCUCUAGUCCCCAACAUCCUGAUUUUAAAAAAUAAUUAAUUUCUAGUUAUUUGCUGAUAACUUUAUGUCUAAUGUUUGAAUUCCAUGAGUAUGGUGAAAAUAAUUGUUUUACAGCUGGUCAGAUGCAUUCCCAUAUAGCUGGUCUCUUUUGACUAUAGAGAAGGUUUGUUGAUUCUGGUACAUAUGCUUUGUCUUUCUAGGUGACCUGCAAACCCUCACUUGCGGUCCAUCUUGUUUGAAAAGGGGUUAUACACAUACCAUGAGGCAUCAGACCCUGUCAGCUUCCUCCAUUUCCUUCUGGGAGAUUUCUGGAGGACCCAGCAGUUAUUGAACUUAAGGCUCUUUGAUUUCCACCUUUAUCAUGUUCUCUUCGCGUUACCCCCUAGCACAGGGUUGCCAUGAGGAUCUCCUGCCUUUGGUGGGAGCUCUACUUAUUUUUCCUGCAGCCACAGGAACCUGCCACCGGUCUGCCUCACUGAGGUCUCUUUGGCUAAUCCUUUUCAUAGCAGAGCUGGUUGUAACGGAGCAGGCUGUCCACCUGGCCCCCUUGUCGGUCACCUAGACCCCGUGUAAAUAGGCAAAUGUCCUAGACAGAAAGGGUCCUGGCUCAUCUCCCAAACUCCAUCUCCUUGUUUCUGCUACUGCUUUAUGUGACUGGUGGUGAUGGAUAUCUCUAAAAAUAUGUUUUUAUGGUUGUCUUUCUGUUUGUUUUCAUCGUCUGAUUUCCAGAUGCCUUGAAUUACCUAGACCAUUGCUACCAGAAGCUAGCAACCUUUCGCACAAGGUUUGUUCUAUUUUCUAAUUAUAUUACUGCCAAUUAAAAUAUAAUAUAUAUGAAAAUUAAAAUACUUUAUCUUAAAACCAGAAAAUUUAGCAACCUUGAUGUUAUAUAUUAAUAUAACUGGAGAGGGGUUGGUGUUUCCCAAAUUUUUACCCCACCCUACUGUCUUAAACACCCCAGUAGAUACUCAGGGCCUGUGUUGGUGGGUUUCUGAGUUUUUUUUACCAUGAAAAGCAACAAUGGAACAGAGACAGUAAAAUAAUGCCAGUAUGAGUGAGAGAGCAUGGAUUAUACCUCGAUAACCACACACCCAAAGAUCUAGGACAUUCUCAUUUAUUUAUUUUUUCUCUUUUUUCCGACAUAGAUUCUUGCUAUGAACUUGAAGACCAUUAGGGAAGGCUGACAGAUUAACACGGAGCCCAGAAACCUUUAGAGGAAGAAGGAACUGAGGUCCCCGUCACCGGCACUGGUCCCAAGGAUGCAAACUCUCAGCAGGGACUCCUCUGAACUGACCAUGGCUCAGGCACAGAUCUGUAAUCUACAACUGUCCCCAAGCACCUGGUCCUUCCCCAGGGUACACAGCAGCCUGACAAACAACAGUAAGACGGUCUGAUUCUUCUCUUAGGAAUAAUACUUUUAUUUAUUUCUUUGAGAAUUUUGUAAGCAAGAAAAAAAAACAUAUUUGCUUUCCUGUCAAACACCCCAUUUCUACAUGUCGAUAACUCAUAAUAAUGUAGAUAAGGUAAUAGAAAAGUUCCCUGCAAAUCAAAGCAUCACGGUAUCAAGGCUCUAAUCAUUGGCACAUAGUAAUAGUAGGAGAUAGGUAUUUAGUAUGGAUAGACCAUAGAACAGGAAGAAAGACAUUGUGCAAGGCAAGGGGAGAAAUCGAGGGAUAGGUCAAAAUAAAGAGUGACUAGACCACAAAGUGAUAUUUGGAUAUCACUCGGUAGGUCAAUCAUUUCCUUUGGAAUAUAUGUAUUUUAAUUGACUACUGAUACUUAAACUGGAAGACAAAGACAACUCAGACAGAAAACAGACAUAUUAUUUUGCUAAAUAAAUAUUUGUAAACAAAAGAAAAAGAAAGAAAGACAAACUAGGGUGAGAGGAAUGGGCUGAACAGAGAUACCCAGGCCCUGGGUCUAUGGUGACAAGGACAGUUCUCACUGAGAACUCUUUCCUCCUCUUUCUCUUUCAUCCUAGGAACUGCCAAGGCCCAGGCAAGGACUUCAAUAGGUUCAAUGUUGGAGGUCCAGCACCACCAUGUCUUUUCAGGCCAACCCUUGGUAAGGCCAUUCUGGAUGGGUAAUACUGCUUCUCUCUCUCUCUCUCUCUCUCUCUCUCUCUCUCUCUCUCUCUCUCUCUCUGUGUGUGUGUGUGUGUGUGUGUGUGUGUGUGGAGAGGAGUUAGCAGACUCUCUGUACAGCUUCUCUCCCACAGCCUGCUUUACACAGCUGCUGUGCUGUGUGCUAGUCCCCAGCGCCUAGAGGACAUUACAUCCUAAGAGGGCUAGUCCGCUGGAAGAGAAAAAGAUGUCAGAGUUAGACCCAUCAUCCUGCUAAUUUGGGAUUGCACCGCUUGAGGAUGAGACCUGGGAACUCUCCUGGGGGAUGCGUUGGUUUUCAGUGAUUCUGUGCCAGACUGAAGGGUGCUCUCAAUACUCCAGGGCAUUUUUCAGAGGUGGAGGAGCAUCUCCAUAUUUUUGAGUGGCGUGUAGCACAACACCAUAGUUAAGACCAUAACUUUGGGGCCAGAAUCUAGGUUCAAAUACCAGUUGUGCUAUUUUUAAACCAUAGGUAAUUUAGGUUUUCAGAGCCAAUGUUUUCUCAUAUGUAAAACAUAAAUGGUUCACGUAAGCACCUGUGGCUACCAAUGACAUUGGGAUGUGGUAGCAAUAAAAUAUGACAUGCAGAAACCCACACCAUUCUAUGUAGCAAAAACAUGCUAUAUGCUGAUGAUGACUAUUUUUGUUUUUCUUGAAGAAGGAAGUGUACAUGCCAUACUAGUAGGUAGGACCAAGAACAUUUUCUUCUAUCCUGACAGGCUGACCUUUAGAACAGAGACAGCAAACCUCUUCCUUUAUCUCCCUUUAUCAACAAAAUAAAGUUCAUUUAUCUUUUCUAAUGAAAGAUAAGAUUAAAAAGAGAUCAAGAACGUGAGAGAGUUCUCAGUUCUUUGAACAAAGGCCACUUAACUCUGCUGCACCCUAGGCCAGUGAGGGGCCCAGCCUACUUUCUGUUCCCUGCCCUGAUCCCUGUAGCCAGCCAGAGGGAACACCCAUCAGAUUGUAGUUGGAGCAGACAAUGAUGAAAACAGUGGGGACAGACUGUCCCAGCCAUUGACAAGGUGUUCCCUAUGGGUAUUAGCUUCCUAGGGCAACAGCAAGGAUAGCUAUGUUGAAGACUGGAUAGCCCAACAUUGGUUGAACUGCAGGGGCAUAGAAAAAGGAAAAGGUUUACCAUGAAGGUUGCUUGAGUCUCACGAAGCAGACAGCUCAGCAGGGCACUCGUGCAUGCCACAGACCAAGGAUGGAAAGGAGCCCACCACAGCAGAGGAGUUUUCCUUGCAGUACAAAGUCAUUAGAGGGGUUCAUGGAUGGUCACUAUACAUUUUAUGAGUAUACUUAAUCACAGGAGCAUGGCUUCUUUUCCUUAUUCUUUUCCUUCCUUCCUUCCUUCCUUCCUUCCUUCCUUCCUUCCUUCCUUCCUUUCUUCUUACAUUCUGUGCCUUUAAGACUCAGCUGUCAAACAAACCUUAAGUGUUUUAAAUAAUUGCCUUUUCCAGAGUAAUUCGUGCUGUGCUAGACUGUCUAUCAACAAAUUCAGCAAGACUUCCGUGUUUUGGAAAACUUUCAAAUUAGAAGUUUCCUCACUUCAUCCAGGGCUUAUUUUGACUCUCUCAGCUUAGCUAAGAUAACCAUGAAAGAAAACAAGCUCAUUUGUGGAUUGACACGGAGGUAAGGUUUCCAUGGAGACCCAAAAUGAAACUGAUCUUGUUUCCCUUUUUGUGAAUUGGCCUGAAAAACAGGAAGGAAUCUUCCCAGACUCUCAGAAAUUUCUUCCCUUGGGUUGUUUUCUACACUCCUGGUAAUUUUCCAGGUGUAGGAAGGCAUGGCAGAGGUCAUUCCCCUCACAACUACAUGGGAGUUGGGCUGGCAUUUGAAGACUUAUCUGCUAGGCAGAGGCAGAAGAAAUAAGGAUCUCAAAGGUCAUCUCCAGAAGACUUCUCUGACUGUAAGGUACACAUGAGUCACCUGCGAGCUUAUGACAGUGCAGAAUCUGCUCAGUGAGUCUGAGAAGGGACCCAAGCCCGCAAUUCUUAGAUUUUUGGUUGCAAGUUUAGCUUUUAAUGGUUGAGCCAUCUCUCCAAACCUUAGCCUGCAAUUCUAAGAAGCAGCCUGCUGCCGUGGAUCAAGGAUCCAUUGGGAAGUGAAGUCUCCAUUGGGAUCCAUUGGGCAGAAGUUUGAUAAACAUAAAAAUAUACUUGCUUUGUAAUUCCUUAUCAUUGUUUUACUUGAUAAAAGUGAAUUCGUAAUAACUGCCAAUUCUGAACCCUGUUAUGAAUUAGACAAUGUUAACACAAGUGGGGGGGGGGGGGACCAGUUUCCUCAUCUAUAGACAAACACUCACAGAGUCAGGGACAGUGUGACACAUACAGCUGGAGAAUCUCAGGACUACAUCAUCAAAGUGUCUUAACAUUCUGGGAACACUACACUGGCCAUCCUGACUGUAGCUCCUGAACAUGGGCCUAAAGCAAAGAACAGAACACCAGAACAGACCCAUUGCUUGGCGGGGAUGCUGACUUUGGAAGUGAAUCUGGGAGUUACCAUUAAGGCAUCUGUCCCUGGUGACCCUCCAAGGGAAGCUUGUUCACACUAGUGUAGCUUGUUCACACUGGUGCAGCUUGUUCACACUAGUGCAGCUUGUUCACACUGGUGCAGCUUGUUCACACUAGUGUAGCUUGUUCACACUGGUGUAGCUUGGGCAGCUGCUAACAGUUUGGCAUGGUUCGCAUUCAGACUUUUCUUUCUCCGUCCCAUUUAACUGUUUCAUCCGGCGUAGGUAAAAUAGCAUUCGUCUGUAAACCAUGUCAAAGCAACUGCUUAAAGUGAAAAGAAAGAGGAGGAGGAGGAGGAGAAGAACCUUUCCAAUAGGAAGCGAAAUACCUGAAAAAAUUAGACUUCAAAAGCUAAAUAUAUUUUAAAACAUUUCCAUGUUUGGUUAUACUCAAAAGCUAAGAAGUUCAAUCUCAUGAGGGUCCAGUGUGCAGAUUUUUAUAAAAUCUCGAAAUUCAUCCAGAUUCACAAAUACACAUAAAUGCUAGUAUAAUUUUGCCUUUUAAAAAAAUAGUUGGUUUUUAUUUUAUAUGCAUUAAUAUUUGCCUGAAUGUACAUGCAGUGCCCACAGAGGCCAGAAGAGGGGGUAGGAUCCCCUGGGAUUAGAGUCACAGCAGCCUGUGAAUUAUCAUGUAGAUGCUGAGAUUUAAACACAGGUCCCCUGAAAGAGCAGCCAGUAUUCUUAACCAUGGAGUCAUCUUUCUGGUCCUGUAAUUUUGCCUUUUUAAAAAUAAAAAUCUUUAGACGAAGACAUUCGGAUGCAUGCAUCACUACUGUAACCUGAAACUGUGACCAGCUGUCAUUUUCAGAAGCUGGAAAGAAAAGGCUCGCAUGGGACAGCCCUUAGUCUAAAGCUGGCCUUCUCUCAGUUUCGGUAUAGCCUAUGAAAUAAAAACAGCUUUUAUGCUAUUAACUGAUUUUUUUUUAUUUUUUUAUUUUUUUACAAAAAUCUACCCAAAGAUAUUAUGACCUGUUAAAAUCUGAAACUCAAGUUUUGGUACCCAUAAAUGUAGUUCCGUUGGGAUGCCAGCCUCACUGAUUUGACCAUGUGGACUGCUUUUUUUAGCAGUCAAGAAGUUGCACAUAGACCAGGGGAAUUGUGCCCACCUCCCCACAACAUCCCUACAUUGCAGUCCCAAUGCUACCUUAUUUGGGGACAGAUCAUUAAGUUAAACCAAGGUCACUAAUUACAUUAUGACAUAUGCUAUUUUUUGAAUUUUAAAUGUCUGCCAAAGGCCCAUUUGUUAAACUCUCAGUCUCCAGUCUGAAUUAGAGGUUAGUAAAAGAAAGUUAGGCCACCAGGCACUUGCCAUGAAAGGGACUUUUGUGACAAUGGUCUCUGCUGUUGCUUUGGCUUUCCUACCGUCAUGGAGGAAGCAGUUUUGCUCUGUCAUGCAUUUCCCGCCCUGACAUGUUGCCCCUACUGGAAGGCGGAAGAGUCAGCCAAGCAUAGACUAAAGCCUCUGGAACCAAAAGUCUCUCCUUCUCAGCUGUCUGCCCCGGGUGCUUUGCCCUGGUGAUGGAGCGCUGACGUCACUGGUGUUCUUAGACAAAGGUGGGAUUAGGACACUGAAACAUCAGAGACAGAGAAGGCAACUGUGUUCUCACCGGGAAGGAAGGCCUAGAACAGCCCAUUCCUCAGAGCCCCUAGAACAGCGUUCCUCAACCUUCCUAACGCUGUGACCCUUUAAACAGGGUGCUUUAUGCUGUGGUGACUCCAACCAUAAACUUACUUCAUUGCCAUUUUGUAACUGUAAUUUUGCUGUUGUUAUGAAUCGUAAUGUAAAUAUCUGAUGUGUUGGAUAUCUGACCUUCAACCCCUGUGAAAGGAUCAUUCGACCCAAAGAAGGUCACGACCCACAGGUUGAGAACCACUGCCCUGGGAGGAACCAACCCUUUGGAUACCUGGACCUUAAACUUCUCUCCAGACUUGUGACAUGGUGAGUUUCUCUUGCUCUGUGACAUCAGUUCUCGCAAACUAGUGCCGCUAGCCAAGACCCCACACUUUACUAACAGACCGUUUGAGGGAAGCUUGCCGGCACCUGCUCUCGGACGCUAAUCAUUCUGGUCAAGUCGGUAAAUUUAACAAGAACAUGCCUGCUGAUCAGCAACAGAGACUUCAGAAACCCUUCCUUUGAUGAACCCACCCACCUUCCAUUAUCUCCCCCCCAACCCACUCGGGAGUUUAUUAUGUCCACGCGGUAGAAAUGGCCCACAAAUGGCGCAUCUGCCUGGAUAAAUUGAGUCACCGAGCAAGUCCCGCUCCAUGUGCCUUGCUUUGAGUCAGGAAGACCUUGAAUUUGCUCCACACUCUCUGUGGAUGAAGGGGCCCUGAAAGAUGGUUAACGUGCAGUAGCAGAGACUCAUAAGCUCAUCUCCAGCCUUCCCCACAGCACAGAAUGAGUAGAAGGGCACAGGCCCUGGCAGCUUCUUCUAAGAGUCAGGUUUCCAGACACUGUCAGCUCCAAGGGAAGCCUCCCUAGAAUCCUGCCCACAUUAUUAUUAACUUUAAAGAGGAGGUGCAGGGGAGGAAACAAUAACAAAAGCUGGGAUUUAUUAAGCAAAUUCAUGAGGCAUGCAUGGGACAAACUUUUUACAGGAAUAAUCCGAUUUACAGGUGGUUAUAAAAAUCCCAUAAAAUAAAAGGCGUCUGAGUAGUCCAUUUGGAAUGCUCUGAUCAAAUGACCGAUAUCCAAACAAGCUAUGCACUCCUGUGGAACUGGAAAAUGGAAGAAACAGGGCUAAAAAACCACACUCUUGGCUCUGAAACUUGACCUCCGACUCAGAUACCAUCACUAUGACACUAACUAUAUGUAAAUGACAAACAAACAGAAAACAGGACCUUGCUGGAGCAUCUUCCCAAAUUUUAGCCACCGGAAGAACCGGCUGGCUCUACCAUUUUAUCUCUUCAUGUAGCCUGUCUGUUUAAUCUGAUACAUUGGUAAGCCAGGGCCUCACUGCUAUGGGAGAGACUGCCCUCCUGGAGCUGCCUAAGUCUUAGAGAUACCCAACAGCUUACACACUAGCGUGCCCUCCACCUGCAGGCCAGUGGCUCACUUCAUUAAGUUUAUACUGAAGCCACUGUUUUCCUGUCCUGCAUCCCCCAAAGCCAUACACAAAGCAGUUAGGGACAGGCCCUGUGCUCUGGACGGAGCCUCCUGGAAUUAGUCGAACUAGUCAGUCCUCAACUUGCUUCUGGCCUAGCCUACUCUUAUCCCAGAAAAAUAAUAGUGGCUUCAGCCCAAGGCUUCCCCUUGCUUCUUCUGCCUCCCAGCCGCCGCUCAUACACUCUGUGUGAUCUGGUGGGGUGUGUGUGCCCCCCACUUUAGGACUGUGAGUGAUAUAUCAUUUCGUCAACUGGUAGUUAUCUCCUGAUCUGCUGGCCCUUUUAUAUCUGACAACAAUGGAACCAUGACUUGAAGCCACUCUCGUAGUCUCUCUGUUCCUAAACUGCGGAGUACAGAGGCCUCAGCCAACCAAACAGCACUGCACGGGACAAUUUCUACCAACAGAAAUGCUCAAAGAUGAGCUCCCUCCCGUCCCAAGCUACUUAGAACCAGGACUUCAUUACCCCUUUUGGUAUUUUCCUCCAUCCCAAGACCAAAUAUUCUGCCAUCAAAAUACCCCCACCCUCACCCCAAGCUCCCUUUAGAUCCCAGCAUUCCUGGGAAGCAAAAACAGGGACAAGGGACUCCCCUGUUGAGUAUCUUGCACAGAAUUAUUUCUCAAUAUGGCAGUAGGAUAGUGGACUUCGAACGAGCUGAGCCAGCUGACCGCCUCUCUGGCAGAAAUGCCAUCUCCCAUGCCAGUGCAUGGCUGCGGUGAAGUCUGGCAGUGCCCUCUCCAGGUGCCAGUUGAAGACACGGAGUCCAGGGCUUUCUGCCAAAGACCUCAGGCCCUGACCAGAAUCCCUGUGGACAUUUGUGCACUGGGAUGCACUCCGGCUUCUGGGCAAAGGCAAUGAUCUACUAGCCACACCAAAAGGUACUGCCUGAAAGAAGUCCUGGAUCACCACCAGCCGCGAGACUUGGGCAGCUUUCUAUGAAAAGGCAGGCGUGGAAAUGCUGCCUUGCUGUGCAGUGGGACGAAAGACGCUAGAAAAGCCAGACAGGACCGGCCACAGCUUGUCAAACCCAUUCAUCCGGCCAGGAGUUGUGAUUAGUGACCUUCUGUACUUGCGUGGCCAGCACAAUUUCAUUCAUGCUUUCUUCUGAGGCCGAGUAAAUAAGAUCCGGCAAGAUUUGAUGAUGUGUGGACAUAGACCGCAUGGGUUUAACCAAUGGCUGGUUAACAGCCUGUGUGCUUUGGACACGGCCAUGCUGAGGCUCAGCGCAAACUGGCUGGUGAUAGUUGACAUUGUAUCUGAAUUUUAGAAAAUCAGUUGAGCAGCAGAAGGAUCAGAUCUUAAAUGUUAUAUUUCCUUAUAUUCAUUUAAAAGUUAGCUUUGUUUUUGUUUUGAACUAUGUGUAUCAAGUAAAAAUGGGACAAUUCAUUAGGAUUUCUAAACCUUAAGCUAAACCCAACCUGAGUCCAAGGUCCAGGUACAAUACUCUACUCCUCUGUGAUCUUUUCUUAAGGCCACUAGGUUUUCUGGACAGGUUGUCAGCUUGAGAGUCUGUCCUGAGCUUUGGAAAGAGAGCCUCUUCUGUUUCUGCUACUCUAUCUGAGAUGUAAGAUGGGCUCUGUCACAGGAUUGGCAUGAGGGAUAAGCAUAAGCGGUGUCUGUUUCUCACAGGUUCUGGGCAGGGGACAGUGUGGGUGGACAGGCUCGUCAUACACUCGGUACCUUGAAGAGAGUUCUGAUCACAAAGGCUGGUUGAGGAAAGAGUCCAUUGUCAUCAAAACUCUAAACAGCUCUCGUGUGUGACACCCUGGAAAACGUCAGCCGAACUCUCAGUCUGAAGGAGGUUUUCACAGAGACUCGCAGCUCCAGAGAAAUAACACAGAAAUGGAUGGGUUGGAGUCUGGAUAUCACAUUAAGGCCAGAAAAAGAAGGACUGUGGGUCUGGUGUUUUUUGUUUGUUUGUUUUUAAAUUGCUUUUGUUUGGGGUUUUGGUUUUCCUCAGGACAUAAUUCAGCUAAACCAAUAGAAACGUAAGAAAGCCUGUAAAGCAGGGCUGGGGACAUGACUCUGUAGGAUAAGCACUUGCUGGGCCAACUCAAGAACCUAAGUUCAGAUCUCCAUUGCCCACCACCCACAUCAACUAUACACACUUGUAUGGGGCAGGUGUGUGCGCAUGCGCACACACGCACACACGGUGAUGGGGGAGGGAAGGGGAGGAGGAAGGGAGGAACAAGACAGUAACAAAAACAAUAGAACCUAGAUAACUUUUUCUUUGUUGAAGAUUAAUUCUCCAAGUGGCAGAUUUGUGAAAGACAGUUUCUUUCUGCACCACUAGAGGGAAAUCUAACCCACCCACUAGAACAUGACCCCUCUCUCUCUCUCUCUCUCUCUCUCUCUCUCUCUCUCUCUCUCUCUCUCUCUCUCUCUCAACAGUAUUGGCAUUUUAAGGCUGAAAAAUACUUUGAGACAUUAUCUUAAUCAAUCCUCUGCAUUCUUGGCCAUAUUUUAAAAUUAUUAUUUGAAUCUCCAUGGUUAUAGAGACUUCAGAAACGCACAAACCAGCCGUCCUAGUGGGGCUAGUGGGAACAUCACUAUUGGGAACGGAGCCUGACAGCAGAUCUGAAUCUCCCCUCCUUCAGCUUGAGUUUAUUUCCUCAAAUUACAUAUUCAUUAGCUAUGGCGAACAGCUGGUCAUCUUUCAGCACCUCACAUUAUUUUUAAAUUUCUGAAGAUGCCUGGGUCAUCCAUCUCUUCCACGGAAAUGAGCCAGCUCCUUAACUCAGCCAUGGCGUUUAUAGCCCAACUCUCCCGCCACGUCCUCCUUCUCUAAACUCAACCGGGCUCGCUUCCCCCUCCAGUUCUGUGCCCCAUCACAGCAACACCUACUAAACUCUGCAGAGAAAAGGAAAAUAAAGUAUUUCCUCACGGAUUUCUUCAGACCUGUGGCUGUUAAGACAUUCCUAUACAGAUUUUCUUUCUAAAUAACAAAAUGGUAAAAACUAUAUGUUUAUAGUAUGACUCAAAAAUCAUGCUCACUUUCCCUCACGGACGUAUAAAUACGCAUGCACACACGUUCAUAGCCACACAUGUUUUCAUUGUAUCAUGAAAACGAACUGGCUAAGGAAUGCCUAUGUGUGUCACUUUGAAGUCUGUUAUGUUUCUGACUCUCACAUCAUAAAUACUUCAAUUUAUAAUUCAGUUUUUAAUUCUGUUCUUCAAGCCUUUGACUAAUAAUUCCAGGCUCUUUAUUAGCUAUAAAACACAACCAGCAUGUAUUGAGAAUAUUAUCCUUUCAAUAAGGUUGUAAAAAGCUACUCAUUGCUAAUAAAAGCAACGGGGAGAAAACUUGACAUUUCCCUGUGUUUGUAUGUCUGAAAUGGUGAAACCCAUAUUUGGUUUUUGUUCCCCGUUCCUGGCAUAGAGCUAAUUCUAUUGGGACUUCCUGGGUAAUGAGUGUCUGUGUUGAUUAUAUUCCAGCCACACCCAAAUUCAUACUCACAAGGUGUCUUCAGGCUGGGCACUGCCUGACAAGGACACACCCACAUGGUUAGACAGUUUGAACUUGUGGUGACUCCCUGACCCCUAUGGGUAAGUUCAACAACCAAGGACAAUGGCUUUAUCAAUCAAUCAAGUUAAAGUAAUGAAGCUUUCAUUAAAUCCCCUAAAGAGGGCUGGGAGAACUUGUGGGAAGGUGAGCACAGAGAAACAUGGUGUGGGAGGUGGAAGUGGAGGAUGUUGAAAGGGUACAGAAGCUCCUCACCCAUCCCCAUCCCUGGCCCUGCCUAUUUCUUCCUUGGCCAUGCUUGAGCUGUACCUUCUAGAACAAACCAGUAACAGUCACGUGGAGCCCUUUCCUGAGGUCAGGCAAAAUGGAAUUGAAUUUUACUGAGCUCUUGGGACCCCGUUGAUGCUAGAAGCUCAAAGAAUUGAUAAAUGUGGAAAGACGAACCUCUUAACUACUGAGCCAUCCUUCCAGGCCCCGAAGGCAGAUCUUUUAAUAAAAUCGAAGUAAACUUCCAGACACAGCAUUGAACUCAAGCUCAGGUGAGGAGUCCUCGCCCCUUUGGAAUUAACCAUUAGUCUGAUUGGGAGUCUUUCUUCAAACAAAACCAAUCUGGAAAUGACCUGUUCCAUUGAUCCGAACAACUCCUUAUCUCAGUUUUCUCUUUUGCAAAACUAGAUGAUAAUCCCACUGUGGGGGCAAUGAAACGGGGGUGGGGGGGCAAUAGUGUACAUAAAGUAUCUAGAAUCGAGCCGGGUACACUGCAGAUAACAUUAAACAUCAACACUGUGAGCAUCUUGACACCUACAUCAGGCCAACUGAACCUUUUCAUUCCUGCCCUCUUCCUCAGAAGGCCCCAUCUGAAAAGCCAUACAGUUCUAGACCAGGAUGGAAAUAUAUAGCUGGAGUAACCACAUGGCCAGCUAAGAGGUGCCAAUCACACUGUAAGGAUUAAUAGAUACCUUCACUCUCAAAAGUGCCCUGGCCUGUCCAGUCUCUCCAUAGACAACAAAGGGUCUCUAUAGUGUCUAUUUCUGAACUAUAAAUGAUUAUAAGAACUCAGAACGAAAUGGCCGGUGGGUUUGAGUGAUGCAUGAAUUAAACAUAAAAAGACUCCUGGCAUUUUAGUCACUCAUCUGCUAGAUGCAACUCAUCAAAAACACAUCAGUUCAUCAGUUUCAAGAGUAUUGGCUCCUUCCCAAGACUGGAGUAGGCUGGGGUGUGGUUACAUCUUGAUUAGUCCCAAGCUGACCUUCAUUCUCUGAUAAUCGAGCCCUUAAUAAAACUUUCUUCCUUUUCCCUUUGGCUGUAUUUUGUGCAUUAGCUACUCCACCCAUGUGCUCCUAUGGACAGGGAGUGUCCAAAGUGAACACAAUGAACACAACAUUAAUUUGGCAACCCUGCGGAGAAGCGGGAUGGAAAGAAUAUGGAAACAACCUUACUGUGACCUGUAGGUAGCUAUUAAAUUCACAGGCAACUCUUCACAAGUUGCCUGUGAGUUUAAUCCAUCUCGGUUUGACCCUUUUUACAAAUUUCCAUCAGCUGGCUUGAGAGCUCACUGGGGUCCUGGUUGCCAGUAAAAUAAAAGUAACAGUGUUUGAAAAAACGGUGUGAAUUCUCAGCAUCUGCCUUUGGGAAGGAAAGCUUCCUUUUCUCAAAUGCCAGGGAUCAUGGCUGGGCAAACACCUUCCCUCCUGCGGCCUUCCCUAUGUCCUUCCUCCACUCACCACCAAUUCAUUGGUAAGUAUGGAGAGAAUAUUUUAAAAAGAGUUUGUGUUGGUGAAGUGGUUACUUGACAUCAACUUAAACCCAACGGCACGAUCACCUCUGCGAAAGGGCACAGCCCAGACUCUAGCUAUAGGGGUUGAGAGUAGCAAGUGAGUACGCAGGUGUCCUGGUUGGAUCUCUAGGCUAAUUUGAACACUUCCUCCUUGACGUAACAAGUCUAAUGUUUAAAGCUGCCUUCCUUGUGUGCUUUAAAUGUCUGAGGAAGACACAAUCCGUGUGCAAAGUAAAAUAGACAGAUAUCAGUGUGGUAUUUGAAGGGAACUCUGUCCUCAUGCAAAAUAACUAGAAUAUGGGGGACUACAGCAUUGGGGUGGGUAAAACAUACAAAAUUACUUAAUAGAGCUGUAGAUUAGAGAGUACUGUAACAGGUGUCUGUGUGUGUUUGUUUGUGUAUGUGUGUGUGCGCAUGUGCACGUGCACAUAUGCAUGAGGGUGUUCUCUGCAAUCUAGGUGAGGUGGCAAAACCAAAGAACAAUCUAAGGAAGUACAAACCAGCCCUUCCCUGUUAGGCCGCUUGUCAGUACUGACCCUUAGCUUGAAUGUCACAUCUUUAUCUCUGUUAAUGGCUAACCAAAGCUUCAUCCUCUCAGGGCUCUCAGGAGCAAAAACCAGUUUGUGGCAGAAAGCAGCAUUGCCUAAAACCUCCAGUGGAAGGGCCAAAAUGGAGCUGAGCAGUGAUUAAUGUGGAACCUACGUUAAGCCACAGGACAUGGAGGAGAGAGGCCCGUGGGAGCUCUAAGGGAAAACACGCAAUGCCAGGAGCAGAGCUCUGAUGGUGUACCUGUGGUUCCUGAUCGUGACCGCUGGGAUCCCUCUCGUAGCUCUCCGCAUACAGCCUGAUGGUGGCCCGCACAC